GGUCAAGUGAAGAAGCGCAUACGGUGGAUGCCUUGGCAGUCAGAGGCGAUGAAAGACGUGGUAGCCUGCGAAAAGCUUCGGGGAGUCGGCAAACAGACUUUGAUCCGGAGAUCUCUGAAUGGGGGAACCCACCUAGGAUAACCUAGGUAUCUUGUACUGAAUCCAUAGGUGCAAGAGGCGAACCAGGGGAACUGAAACAUCUAAGUACCCUGAGGAAAAGAAAUCAACCGAGAUUCCCUUAGUAGUGGCGAGCGAACGGGGAUUAGCCCUUAAGCUUCAUUGAUUUUAGCGGAACGCUCUGGAAAGUGCGGCCAUAGUGGGUGAUAGCCCCGUACGCGAAAGGAUCUUUGAAGUGAAAUCGAGUAGGACGGAGCACGAGAAACUUUGUCUGAACAUGGGGGG
rnacentral:rRNA from 1 species